rnacentral:rRNA from 1 species
UGCAGUCGAGCGGAACGAUCCUAGCUUGCUAGGAGGCGUCGAGCGGCGGACGGGUGAGUAAUGCAUAGGAAUCUGCCCGGUAGUGGGGGAUAACUUGAGGAAACUCAAGCUAAUACCGCAUACGCCCUACGGGGGAAAGCAGGGGCUCUUCGGACCUUGCGCUAUCGGAUGAGCUUAUGUCGGAUUAGCUGGUUGGUGAGGUAACGGCUCACCAAGGCGACGAUCCGUAGCUGGUCUGAGAGGAUGAUCAGCCACAUCGGGACUGAGACACGGCCCGAACUCCUACGGGAGGCAGCAGUGGGGAAUAUUGGACAAUGGGGGCAACCCUGAUCCAGCCAUGCCGCGUGUGUGAAGAAGGCCCUCGGGUUGUAAAGCACUUUCAGCGAGGAAGAAUGCUUGUCGGUUAAUACCCGGCAAGGGAGACAUCACUCGCAGAAGAAGCACCGGCUAACUCCGUGCCAGCAGCCGCGGUAAUACGGAGGGUGCGAGCGUUAAUCGGAAUUACUGGGCGUAAAGCGUGCGUAGGCGGCUUGAUAAGCCGGUUGUGAAAGCCCCGGGCUCAACCUGGGAACGGCAUCCGGAACUGUUAGGCUAGAGUGCAGGAGAGGAAGGUAGAAUUCCCGGUGUAGCGGUGAAAAUGCGUAGAGAUCGGGAGGAAUACCAGUGGCGAAGGCGGCCUUCUGGACUGACACUGACGCUGAGGUACGAAAGCGUGGGUAGCAAACAGGAUUAGAUACCCUGGUAGUCCACGCCGUAAACGAUGUCGACUAGCCGUUGGGGUCCUCGAGACCUUUGUGGCGCAGUUAACGCACUAAGUCGACCGCCUGGGGAGUACGCCGCAAGGUUAAAACUCAAUGAAUUGACGGGGCCCGCACAGCGGUGGAGCAUGUGGUUUAAUUCGAUGCACGCGAGACCUUACCUACCCUUGACA